UUUUUUUUUUUUUUUUUUUUUUAAGAGACAGGAUCUUGCUCUGUUGCCCAGGCUAGUGGUGUGAUCUUAGCUCACUGCAGCCUCCACUUCCCAGGUUCAAGUAAUUCUUGUGCCUCAACCUCUGGAGUAGCUGGGAUUACAGGCACGUGCUUUUUGUAUUUUUUGUAGAAACGAGGUUUUGCCAUGUUGACCAGGCUGGUCUUAAACUCCUGGCCUCAAGCAGUCCACCCGCCUCGGCCUCCCAAAAUGCUGGUAAUUACAGGUGUGAGCCACCGUGCCCGACCGCUUUUUUUACCCAACAGUAUAUCAUAGAUAUAACCAUGUCUGUGCAUAGAAAUUUACCUUAUUUUUUUUUAAUGGUGCAUAGUAUUUCAUAAUAUAGGUAUUCUACAUUUUGAGUCAUUACUGAGAUGGUUUGUAGUUUUUUCCAUUUCAACAAAUGCUGCAGUAAACCUAUUUGCCAAAUUUCCUGGUGCACAUGUGUUUUUAUUUUGUUUUGUUUGGUUUUAGACAGGGUGUGGCUCUGUUGCCCAGGCCGGAGUGCAGUGGCGCGAUUUUGGCUCACUGAAAUCUCUGCCUCCUGGGCUCAAGCAAUCCUCCCACCUCAGCCUCCAGAGUAGUUGGGACUACAGGCGAAUGCUACCACACCCGGCUAACUUUUAAUGUUUUUUCGGUAGAGACAAGAUUCCACUAUGUUGCCCAGGCUGGUCUCCAACUCCUGGCUCAAGUCAUCUGCCUGCCUUGGUCUCCCAAAGUGCUGGGAUACAGGAAUGAGUCACUGCGCCUGGCCCCAUGUGUUUUUGUAGUAUAGGUGUGGAGAAGUGGAAUUUCUGAGUCAGAGUUACAUACAUUUAAAUUUCAAUAGAUUUGCCAAAGUACCUACACAAAUGUAUGCACUCCCACUAAUGCUUAGAGUGUUAGACAACUUUGAAGUUUUGGCUUCUCUAUGGUUGAAAAAUCUUACCCCAUUUUAGUUUGUAUUUCACUAAUUCUGAAAAGGUUGAAUUUUUUUUUCUUAUGAUUACUAGCUAUUUGUCUUUUCUCUGAAGAGGAACUCUGAGUUCAGUGUUUUUAUUGGGUCAUUUCUCUUUUGCUUGCUAGGUUUCUAGAAGUUCGCUUUAAUAUACAUUAGUAUUCUAAGUGCCAAGCCUUUCUUCUAUUUUUUUUUUCUUUUGUAAUUAAAACGACCCCAUUUUGCAGGGGAGAGGCUAUUUUUGUGGUACAAAACUUUUAAAUUUUCCCAACCUUUGGGUUAUGAGUUCUGCUUUUUCAGGCUCUAAGAAGGUCUUCUUCACUUUAAGGUCAUAAGCAUAGGGUUUUAUUUCCUUCUGAUAUUUUUAUAGUUGUAGGUUGAUUUUGAUGUGCUUGUGGGACCUUUGGAUAAAUAAAGCAACUUCAAUCUCUUCCAGUCUUUUAGCAAGUAAACAUAUUCCUACCACUUCAGGUAUCUUGAAUUUACAAUUGUGUUUUCCACCCUAUUUCCAGUUUGGCAGUGAGGGGGCUUUCAGAUGGGGGCUAAAUAAACAAUAUAGAAAUAUCCUAUUUUAGGGUCUUAUGUUCCUCUUUAAAAUCCACCGUAACAAUAGCCAAGAUUUGGAAGCAACUUAAAUGUCCAUCAACAGAUUAAUAGGUAAAGAAAAUGUGGUACAUAUACACAAUGGAGUACUAUUCAGCCACAAAAAAAGAAUGAGAUCCUGUCAUUUGCAAUAACAGGGAUGGAACAGGAGGUCAUUAUGGUAAAGGAAAUAAGCCAGGCACAGAAAGACAAAC
ensembl:lncRNA